AGCUUUAUGAGACGAGUCUGUUAUCUCCAUCCCCAUUUGAUAGAUGGGGCAUCCCUGUGGGAGCUCUGCCCAUUCCAGAGGUGCCAGGCCAUUCACUAAUGGGGGCAGGAGCCGGACAAGACCAGAGUGCAAACUCUUCAAGACAAGGGAAGAAUGACCCUGAAGGCAAUUCAGAGAUCAUCAAGGCUAUCUCCUUGCUUUCAAAAGUCGGGAGCAUUGCCUUGCAUUCAGCAGGUUAGAGGGCCUCUGUCCAAAGCCAUGGAGGAAGAGCUGCCCAGAG
rnacentral:lncRNA from 1 species